rnacentral:misc_RNA from 1 species
AACGCAAAUUGCACUCCCUGGUAUUCCGGGGAGUAUGCCUGUUUGAGGGUCGUUAGAAUAAAAAUCGAGGCGUCGCUCUUUUUUUUAAGGGUGAUCGCGUCGGAAUUGAGCCGUCUUUUAAAUGUUAAUUCAUGUCAAAGUGGCUUAAAAUUCAUCCAUCCGGUACGAUUAAAGCGUAUUUAAGAUCAAUUUUGUUCAAGAACGCGCGAUGACGUACCAUCUCAUGUAGUACGUUUGACCUGGGUCAUCAGGUUCAUUCGUAUACGAUACUCAAACUUUUGACCUCAAAUCAGGUAAGAAUACCCGCUGAACUUAA